rnacentral:rRNA from 1 species
CACGUAGGGCGCGAGCGUUGUCCGGAAUUAUUGGGCGUAAAGAGCUCGUAGGCGGCCUGUUGCGUCCGCUGUGAAAGCCCGGGGCUUAACCCCCGGGUCGGCAGUGGAUACGGGCAGGCUAGAGGUAGGUAGGGGAGAAUGGAAUUCCCGGUGUAGCGGUGAAAUGCGCAGAUAUCGGGAGGAACACCGGUGGCGAAGGCGGUUCUCUGGGCCUUACCUGGCGCUGAGGAGCGAAAGCGUGGGGAGCGAACAGG